rnacentral:lncRNA from 1 species
UCCCUUGGUCUUCUUUAUGCGUUUCUUCCCCUACAUGUUCUUCAUAUACCUUAGCCUUCCAACUAUGUCCUUUAAACCCAUAGAUUUUAGGUCUAGUAAUUUCUCAAGAGACGCUACAAUUUGAAUUUAUUUGUAUCUAGGAAGUCCCUUCAAGAACUUCUUCACCAUCUUGGAUUCUUCUAUGUUUUCUCCUAACAAGGCUGCUUUAUAUGAUAGGCCUGAUAUAUUUUCCGCAAAGUCAUCAACCGUAUUCGUAUCAUCCAUCUUUAACCUGCUAAACUCUAUCAUCAACGUCUAAAGUCUUGCCUCUCAUUCACGAUCAGCUCUAGGUGUCGUCAUGACUUAAUGGCCUCCCAGAUGUCUUUAAAUACGAGUUGUUCUCCCACUUGGAGAAUCAAGGUUUCAAGAAGAGAUUGGAAUAGAAGUGAUGUCGUCGCCACAUCAUUCUUCUUUUGAUCAUCCGAACCCGGUUCUACUGUCUCCCAUACUUCAUGAACUCUCAAUAGAACUUUCAUCUUCAUUGACCAAAUCGUAUAGUCCUUCGUGGCAGCAUGUUCUAGUCAGGUCUGCCAUGCUUGUUUAUGUGAUAUCUCCUCCGUCUCCUAGAUCUAGUCUUCAACUUAAGCUCUGUUACCAAUUAGAGUUGAAUAUCUUAUUAAAUAUUAAAAAUUAUUUAUUUAAACUUCCACUGUGAAACUUGAAUUAACGUCUCUCAAGAUACACUGCUAUAUAUAAACUAGAUGAUAAUGCGCGCGGGUGAGUAUUUUAUACUAAUGUUUUUGUUCAUUAAAUGGUUUUAACAUUUUGCAACACUACAAUCUUUAUCGGUUGUAAAAUGAGGAAUAAAAAUGUUGGUCUCUUAAAUGUAUUCAUCGUUGUUGAAGAGUUAAUGUAUUACAGCUUAUUUUAGUUAUUUUAAGACUUCAUAUGCACAAAAAAAGUUUUGUGCCUGACACAAAUCACAAAAACCAGAUAUGAACAUCAAUUUUAAAAUGACGAAAGGGGAUUAGGUUUUCUGCUCUCGAUUUGUUUAUUAUUGACUCUCCAUAAAUGAUUUUAUUUUCUACUUCUAGAAAAUUGUGUUUUCGUUCUCGUUUCUAUUUCACUGAUAUGAGUUUUGUUUAUUUUUUAGACUUUUUCUAUGAAUUUAGUGAGUUACAUAAGUGUCAGUUUAAAAUUUGCACAUCUGUAAAAAUUAGUUCUACUCGAGAUACAUAUCUAAGAGUCAAAUGUUUUUAAAAAUCACCAGCAAACUCUAUUCACAUGUUAGUGUUCAAAUCUGAUAUAUCAAGCUAUUAUAAAAUAUAAGUGCAAGCUCGAAAUUAACAUAUAUUAUAUUUUUAUAUAGUAUAUAAUUUAAUUUAAAUUAUAUUAAUAUAAAUAUAUGAAUAUUUAUUAAUGAGACUUCAUAUUCAUACGAUUUAUGAUCAUUUGUAUCUUACUUGAACAAAAAACAAUUAAACCUCUUAUCACAAAAGUUUCAAUGUGAGACUUUUUACCAUUUUUAGUAAUUUAUAGUCGUGUUUAAAAAUUCAAAAUAUAACAUAUAAGAAAAAAUCUAAUUUUUUAUUAUAUGUUUAAUGUGAUUGUUUAAAUUUCUUUUGAUAACAUAAUUUUUUUUAUCAGAUAUUUUUUAUUCAUAAUCAUUUAUUCUGAUAUAUAUGUUAUAAUCAUAUUAGGUAAUUCCACAACUUUUAUUUAAAAAAGAAUUGAGAAUAUUCUUUUGUACACUACAAAUCAUUUUGAUAGUUAGUUUAACAAAAAAUAUAAUAUAUAUUUAUAUGUACCAACUUAUUUUUCUAAUGAUUUUAAGAAUCAUCAUAGUGAUGACGCGUAGCUAUGAAUACAUGUUGUAAUGCUCUAGAAUUAAUAUAUAAGGGAUAUGAAUGUUCAUAUUUUCAAUUUCUGAAUUUUAGGAACGUCUAAUCUAUGGAUGAGAGAUCCUUGUCGACUUUGCGUUAUAGUGGUUUAGAUAAAAAAAAAUAUUUUAUAGACGACAGAAAAGUGAUAAGAGUUUAUUUUUAUAGAAAUUAUAUCAACAGCUCAAUUAGAUUAUAUGAUAUGCAAUGUGGGUUUAUAUCAUUGCUGUGUGUACUCAAUUAUCUUCUAUCUAUCUAUCUAUACUAUUAUUUGUGAAGUAAAGUUUCGAAAUCGAGCUCUCACGUUAAAAGUUAGAGUGGUUAAUAACGUUUAUACCCUUAAUGAAUAAAAUGUAUAACUAAAUUAAAAAUAAAAACGAAAUUUUAAUUUAUUUGAUUAGAUAAUUGAUUAAAAUUAAUAAUAGUAAGAAUUAUCCAAAAUCUGAAAAUAUAAUUUAAAAAGAGAGAUAAUUUUUGUAUAUAUUGUAUUGUUAUCUGAAAAAGUCUUUUAGAAAAAAGUUAAAAACAAGAAUUAUAUAACUAAAUAUUAAUCAAAUAAAAUGUAUAACUAAAUUAAAAAAUAAAAACAAAAUUUUAAUUUUAAUUUAUUUGAUUAGAUAAUUGAUUAAAAUUAAUAAUAGUAAGAAUUAUCCAAAAUAUGAAAAUAUUAUUUUAAAAAGAGAUAAUUUAUGUAUAUAUUGUAUUGUUAUCUGAAAAAUCUUUUAGUAAAACGUUAAAAACAUGAAUUAUAUAACUAAAUAUUAAUCAAAUAAAAUUCUUAAUUAUAUAAUUAAAAAUAGAAUAUUGAAUUAUCCAAAAUCUAAAAAUAUAAUUAAAAAAAAAAGAGAUAAUUUCUAUAUAUUUAUAUAUAUUGUAUUGUAUCUGAAAAAAGUAUUUUAGUAAGAAGUUAAAAACAUAAAUUACAUAAUUACGUAUUAAUCAAAUACUUUUUUAAUUAUAUAAUUAAAAAUAUAAUAUUAAGUUAUUUUAAAAUUUAUUUUAGUAUAAUGAAUAUAGUGUACAAAGAACUUUUCGAAAAUUAUGAAAAUGUUUAAACCUGCAUCACGGGCAAAACACCUAGUACUAAAUAAACUUGUAAUAGUAGAAACUCGUCAUAUAUGAAUGUUUAUAGAAAUUAUCUUAACUAUAUAUAUUUUAGGAGGUUGAAUCCAAACUAAUGAAGUUUUUCUAACAUAAAUUAUAGCGGUUAUUUAGGAUUUGUUUUUUAAUGGAUUACAUUUAUUUCAGGAGGACAAACAUUGGUGUUGUGAACAGUGACAACUGUCAUAUUUUAAAUUUAAUGAAUUUGUAAUAUGAAUGUAAAUCCAUAUAAUAAAAGCAUCUCCUAAAGAGAGUUUUUUGAUAAGUAUUCAAUGAUUAAAUAAAAAAAUAAAAAUUAAGAAAAAUGUAAGUAUGGAUUUCAUUUGAGCAACUUUCAAAAUUUCAGUAGAACUUUUUCUUCUAUCUGUCAGCAUUUAGCUAUUUAAUAUCUAAAAUAAAUCUAAAAGAGAACUAGCUGUCUGAUUAAUGUUUUAGUUUUCUUUCUUGAGAAUUUUUUUGGAUAUCUGACCGAUAAUCCUUUUCUGACAAAGGAUGGUAACGUGUAGGACAACUGCGGAAUAACUGCGGUAUAGUUCUAAUAGUAAUAAAAAUAUAUAGAUAUAUAAGUAUGUGUAAUUUUUUUUACUAUUAACGCGGAGCGAAGCGGUGCAGUUCGUCACCAUUCAGAGCAUAUAGUUUGAGUGGUUAAUAGGGUGCAAACACUGAUUUGACCACCCUAACCCAAUCCCAAAAAAAAUUAACAAUUCACUGAGGGCUUGACUGAUUUUUCUGAUACCAUCUACAAACGCAUCUUUUGUGGGUUAUUAGUAGCUUUUGGUGUUUUUCAACGAUCAGAAAAACAUUGUAAAUUGUUUCAAACUGUUGUAAACCUCUUAAAAUCAAAAUUUGAUAUCUGCUAUCGUUCGUAGUUGCGAGCGAUUAUGGGUGAAUAAAUAAUUAUAUAUUUUUAAAAAAAAUCUUCUAAAAUUUAAAAUUGAAAUAUUUUUAAAUAAUAUAUAUACAUUUAUAUUUAAAUUUAAAUUCAUUAACAGCAUCAUAAUUUAUAUUAUAAAACCUUUAAACAAUGAAUAUUCACUAUAAUUUUUAAAAAUAAAUAUAUGUAUAUAUAUACAUAUAUAGAGAUAUAUACAUAUAUAUAUAAACGAAACAAAAUAUAUAUUUUAAAGUUCUUAUAUGAAUCUUCAAAAGAAAUUUUAUUGAAAUAAUAAUUUUCAUCUAAACUAAACAAAAAAAUAAAUAUCAAUAUUAAUUAUAUUAUAUCAUAAUAGUAUAUUUUUUUAUAUUUUUAUAUUGUUAUGGUACGUUAAUAUCUAUAAUUCCUUAUAUAUUAAUUGAGUAGGAUUACAACAUGUUUUGGUAGCCACAUGUCAUCACUAGGAUGAUUCGUAGAAUUCUUAGAAAAUAGGUUGGUCCAUCUAAACAUAUAUUAUACAUGUUUAUUAAACUAACUAUCAAAUUGAUUAAUAAUGUACAAAAGAAUAUUCUCCAUUCUUUUCUCAGAUAAAAAUUACGGAAUUGUUGUUAUGAUUAAUACAUAUAAAAUACAUAAAUAUGUUAAUUUUGAAAGUUGCAUUGAAAAAGCAUUGAGACUUUAAUAUUUUAAUUUUGAAAUUUGCAUAAAAAAUCUCAUAUUGAAAAUUUUGUGAUUAAUAUUUUAAUUUUUUUGUUACAACAAAUAUACAAAUUCUAAUAAAAUCAUAUGAGUACGAAAUCUGAAUAAUAAAUAUUUGUUUUAAAAUAUACUAUAUGUUUAUGUCAAUAUCAUUGAAAUUUAAUUAUAUACUAUCUAAAAUAAAUAAAAUGAUUGUUUUGAUUUAUUCCAAAACAAUUAUUGUAAAUAAACAGAAAGUAUUAUUUUUAUUUAUGUGUUUACUCUAAUUUAAUUAUAUACAUAAUACGUAAAUGAAAAAUAAUUAAUAAUAUGUAAAAAUUAUUUAACUUUGUACCAUUCAUACAAAAUAUUUAAUAACUAGAUGGUGGCCCGCACACUUGUGCGGACUAAUAUAUAUCCAACUAAUUCAAAUUUUAACAAAUUUUUAAUUUCAGUCUAAAUUAUUUAAUUAGUUUCAAAUAUUAAAUUAAUUAGAGAUAUAAUUAUCUUUUUUUUUAUUACAAGAUAACAUAGAUAAUGGUUUGGUAUUUGUAAAAUCUUUUAUUUAUUCUAUCACUAAACCAUACAUAUAAAAAGUAUCAUCAUUAUAAUAAGCUAAAAAAGUUUUAUUAUUACUUUAAAAAUAAUAUAAAAGAUAAAUCUAUAAAUAAACCAUAAUUACCAAAUUAUCAGUGAAGCCUAUGAAAUCAAACCCCUCUUCAUCAAAGUCUUAAUUACAUUUUAUAUGAAUUUCUUUUUCAUCGGAGUUCAUAUUAAUACCUAUUAACAAAUUUACAAUAAUUAAAAACAUUCUUCUAUUUAAUAAAAGUAUAUAUCUAGUAUAAGGUGUAUUUUUUUUUUAAUUUUUAACAGCGAGAGAUUGUAUUCUUUGGACUCAUAUUUUGAUUGAUAAGAUAAUUCGGUGGUAUAAAAGAGAAGCAAGCUUCAUUUUAAAAAUAAUAAAUAAAACAUUAUUUAAUAUUAAAAAUUAACAUAAGAUGAACAAAACUAUAAAAUUAAUACUCAUUAAUAAUAUUUAUCCAUGAAUAUAUUGAAAAUAUUCAUUAAAUAAUCACUAAAUACGUUCAAAACUAACAAUUCAAAAAGUUAUUUAUUAAAACUAAUGACUGAGCCUAAAUUAAAUCAUGGAAUAUGACAAAUGAUGUUCUAAAAGUAAAAAGUAAUAAAACAUGAAAAUAAUAAAAAUAGCCUAACUUAUGGAUAACAUGACAAGUAAGCAAAACUAAAAUUACCACCUAAAAUUAUUUUAAAUAUGAUAAAUAAAUAAAAUUACUACAUAAAAUUAUAAAGAACAUAAGAAAUAAUAAAUAAACUAAAUUAUGGAGGAUAUGGAAAAUAAGAAAAAGUAUAAUUAUUGAAAACAUAACAAAUAAACAAAUUAUCUAAAAUUAUAGACAAUAUGACAAAUAAGCAAUAAACAAUGAUAAAUAAAUAAAAAUUAUGUAAAAUCAUGGAGAAGAUGACAACUAAGCAAAAUCACUUCAUAAAUAAUAGUAUAGAUGCUGGAAACGGAAACUACCUAUAUCUGUAAACUUCCACAAUCGCAUCGGCAGUCAUUGUGUUUCAACAGGUCAGGCCUGAGUUAACGUGUGUAGUUGGACCAACUUAGAAAGUGGGCUAAUGCUUGUGGCCCAAUAACAAAUGUGAAGAAAAGACUUGUUACAAUUGCUGCUGGCUCAUCAUCUUUCUUUCCACCUCCGAGCAAAAUCACCGGCGGAGAAACCUCACCGAUGAAGCAAGUUAUGGCGGGCAUGGUUACGCAGGCACCAUUGAAGUCGUUAAUUCAAGCUCUACUUCUGAUAUCAUUAUCAUUUCCGCCUCUCUCCAGCGCUUACCGACCAGGAGAUAUCGUGGCGAUGAGCAAGAUGGGACAGUACCAUUCGGUUCGAAUCUCUCUUUACAUAUUUAGCUGAGAUUAACUUAGAAUUUGACGUAGACUAAGGAUCUGUUGAUUCCAUGUGCAGUCGAGAACGACUUGGCAUGAUGUGAUCGGAAAGCAUUGCCCGAUCUUCGCCGUUAAUCGCGAGGUACUAACUGUCUGUGUAUAUGAUAUGUUCCUGGGAAAUUAGAUUGAAUUUUCAUGCCGAUUUGCAGGUGCUGAUCCCCAUAGCGAAACCAGUUGGCUACACUGGAACAGAUCCUUAUAAGAUGUGAGAGUGUUUGAUUCCUUUAAUUGAGAUUGAUCUGUCUUUAGCUUCUCUGAGGUUGUGAAGAUAGAUUCACAUCUCAUCUUAUCUUCUUUGAUUAGAGUAGGAGCCAUUUUGUUGUUUGUAUGGUGUAGUUAGUUCUACUCUGUUGCACUUUGUUGUGUUCUUCUUACUCUGCUGCUAUGGCAACAUCCUUUCUUUCUUUAGAUAAGUAUCUAGCAGUUUCUCUUGUUGUUGGCUCGAAUAGGAGAUAAUGAAUAUCGAUUCAUAUCUCAUCUAUUUGAUUAGAGUAUGAGUCACUCUUGUACGGUGUAUUUAGUUCUCUUCUGUUGCAGAUUGUGUUCUUCUACUGCGCUGAACAUGAUGUACUAUGCUGAUACAGUGACAUCUUUCCAUUGUUUGUUACAUUAGUCAUAUACUGAUUUUGUGUCUGAUGUGUGGUUAUGGAUCCUCUUACUUGCAGAAAUUUCCAUUCGUGUGUCUUUAGCUUAUCUGCCAAGUUCAUUGCUGCUUUUAAAUCAGUGUCUAGCAGUUUAUAUUGCUGCUGCUUGAAUAAGAGAUGGUGAAGAUAGAUUUACAACUUAACUACUUUGAUUAGAGUAGGAGCCGUUUUUGUAUGGCGUGUUUAGUUCUGUUCUGUUGCAGAUUGUUGUGUACUUCUAUUGUCUUCUCUGCGAUGAAUAUGGUGUGAAAUGCUGAUAGGGCGACAUCUUUUCCUUGUUUGUUACAUUAGUCGUAUGCUUAUUUUGGUGUGGAUAUGGAUUGAUUUUACAUGCAGAAAAUUCCAAGUUGGAAGUGAGAAAUAUCUGAUACACUGGCUUUUGGUGAUAAACCGGAAGAGUUCAGAAGUUCCAAUGAUCGAUGUCAAUUUGGUAUGUAUUGUUAGUUAGCCUUGGGUUUUGAGUCGUUUAUAAGCUUCGACUGAUUAGGUGUGUGUGUGAGUCCUUUUGAGUGUGGGUUGUUUUGCACAGAGAUAUUCUGGAGGAGAUUUGCUUGGAGUAACAGCUCAAGUUGUCGAUAUGCCUCUUAGCUGUACGUAAAACUCCAUAUCUUGUCUCUUUAUUAUCUGGUGAAAGUUAUAAUCUUCUUUGUGGCAUUGGGUGCUAAUAUAUAAAUGUAGGCAGUUUGUUUACUAGUCUUUAUUUGUUCUGCUGUUACCUUUAUGUCAAUUAUACAGUAGGCUGAUACUAUCCAUCAGGAGUUUUUGUAUAAGCUGAGAUUUUAUCCAUGAACAGAUUUGAAUACACACCCGGAGAUCCGCAAGCAGUUCUGGGAUCCUCAACACUGGCCGAAACAUGUUCUUGUUCGAUACACAUGGUACGCUACGUUUCUUGACCACUUUCAACUCUGUUUUACCUCUCUCCUUCCUUUUCUAAAUAAGAUUUUGGAUACGGUCGAGUCGCGAUAUUUAGCUAAGACACUAUAUUGUGAUGCAUGCAGGAAGGAGCAGUCAGAGAUUGAUGUUUCCUCUGGAUUUUAUGUCCUCUUUGGCUCAGGUAAAUCGUUUUUUUUUUUUGGUUCUUGCUGAUUAAAUAAAACGGGAAAAUAAAUUCACACACUUAAUUAUUAUUAUUUUAUGUUGUGCACUUGUGAUCAGCUCUCACGUUCUCUUUCGUACUCUCCAUUUACGUCUUACAAUCUUCACGAGAGAAGCUGGCGAGGUAAAUGAUCUUCAUGUCCUCUCAAGUUCAAGUGUAUAUCUUCCUUAUCUUGAACCUAAUUCUUGAAAAUGUUGUUGUAGGUUUGUAAGAGAGACGGUUGUGGAAAGCAGCUCGAAUGUUGGAGAGUUUGGCAAGGUUGAGUGAGAGUCAUAUAGUCAAAAGCAGAUAUGUAUGUUGUUGCUGCUGCUGCUAUAGAUGCUUGGACUUGGUUGGUUAAAACAAAAAACAAUUCCAGAAAAAGGAGAUUUGAUCGAACUUGAAUUAGUCGAAAGCAAAGAUAUCAUUCUGUUUGUUCCAAACCAAAUCAAUCAACUUGUAGAUCUUGCAAAACAGAAUGAAAACUUAACAUAUAAUAUGACGGCUUACUUUUAUUCGAAGUUUCUCACUAAACAAACAACAAAUGAAAAAUCAUAAACCAAAAUAUAUCUCCAGAUGCCUUCUAUCUUAACAUUGUUGGUGGCGGCAUGGUGUGAUCAUGAGGAUUAUUAAUUUAUAAUAUGGGUUUAUUAAAUAUAUCCAACUCAUAAUCAAUUGAUAAUAAAUGUAUUAGUUUGUACUAUUUAAUAUAUUAUUAUUUUCUUUCAUCAACAUAUCUCAUCUCACAUCUCUCACAUUUCAUGUUCAUACACAGGCUGUGCCUGACUUUUGGGGGCUUAGAUGCAAAAAAAAAAAAAAAUUAUUUCGCCCUUUAGUAUAGCAUUUGGUAAAAUUGGUAUCGAGGAAGAAUCGAAUCUAUCAAUAAAUUGAACAAACUACUAGCCCAAAGCCACUGAAUCAAUCAAUUUUUUUCUCAAAUUAACCCCUAAAAUAUAUUUAACUAUAUCGACUCUGAAGCACAUAUUUGAUGGGAUUGUACUCAGGCACGGCCCUGUAAUCAUACGUAAACAUAUUAUCAUCAACAAAUGGUUCUAACGACUUCUACUAAUAGAUGGGUGGUUCCGAUACUAUGUUUAAUUUUGCAUUUUAGGUCAAAACCAAUUAAGUAGAUUGACUUGUGACCUUUAUAAGUUACUACUAGAUGAUGAUCCGCGUGCAUGUGCAUGGUGAGUUUUUAUAAUAAUGUGUUCAUUAAAUAGUUUUAACAUUUUGCAACACUACAAUCUUUAUCGAUUAUAAAAUGUCAAAUAUAAAUGUUGGUCUCUUAUAUGUAUCAUCGUUGUUGAAGAGUUAACAUAUUACAUCUCAUUUCAAGUAUUUUUAAGAUUUCAUAUGCACAAAAGAAAAUUAAGUUUUGCAGCUGACACAAAUCACCAAAUCCAAAUAGGCAACAUCGAGUAAGAUGACGAAAAUAUUAGGUUUUCUGCUCUCGAUUUAUUUACUAUUGACUCUCCAUAAGUGAUUUCAUUUUCUACCUCUAUAAAAUUGUGAUUUCGUUAUUUUCUGUGUUUCAUUGAUAUAUAUAUAUAUAUAUAUAUAUAUACAUAUCAAGCUCUUGUUUUUUGCAUUAACAAAAGUUGCAUCUAAAAUGUCAAAAUAACAACUAAAUUAGUGUCUUUCUAUAAAGUUUUAUCUUCAAACCUAUUAAUAGUUUAAUCUUUUAAAAAUUAAAAAACCAGUUAAGUUAAAAAUAUAUUUAACUACAAAAAAACUUAAAAAUGAAUAAUUUAUUUAUUUUUUCUUCAAAAUUUAAAUAUCUGAACCCAACCAAAAAUAUAUGAACCCAAACAUAAAAUACCCGAACCCGACCCAAAGUGUAGAAAUCCGAACGGUUUCUAUACCUUUAUACUGAAAUACCCAAAAAUCUUAAAUACCCGAUACGAACCCGAACGUGUAUCCGAACGUCCAUCCCUACAAUAUAUGAUCAUUUGUAUCUUUCUUGAAAAAAAGAAGUUAGACCAUUGAUCAUAAAAUUUGCAAUGUGAGAUUUUUACCAUAUUUAGUAAUUUAUAGUCAUUUUUAAAAAUUUCAAAAUAUAGCAUAUAAGAAAAAAUAUAAUUUUUUUAUUAUAUGUUUAAUUUGAUUAUUUAAUUUUUUAAUAUAAUAUAAAAUUAAACAAAAAGAGAGAAGAUACAAAAAUUGUUAUCAAAUAUGCAUUAUUCAUAAUCACUAAUUGUCAUAUAUAUGUUAAUCAUAUUAGGUAAUUCCGUAGCUUUUAUUUAAGGAAAUAAAAAAUAUUAUUUUGUAUACUACUAAUUAGUUUGAUAGUUAGUUUAAUAAAAAGCAUAGUAUAUGUUUAUAAGGACCAACAUAUUUUUCUAAGAAUUUUAAAAAUCAUCCUCGUGAUAAGACGUGACUACAAAAAUAUGUUGUAAUGCUCCAUAAUUAAUAUAUAAGCGAUAUCAUUAUUGAUUUUUUUUUCAUUAACAACUAGAGUUUUUGUUUACAUGGCUAAGAUAUCCAGUAUCAACAAUCUAAAUUCAAAAAUGAACUCAGAAUGUUUCAUGGUUUUAUUGUCUUUAUAAGGUUUUUUCUUCGGAAUACAAAAUAUAAUCAUCUAACCGAGUGAUCAUCGAAUGGAUGUGUUUUGCUCCGUUUGAAAUAACAUCGUUAGUUAGAAUAUGUUGAGUUUUAAAUGAACACUCCAAAUUUCUAGGUGACACAAUUAUGAAUUCUACUUUUAUCUUCCAGUUUUUCUUACCUUCAUGACGUAGUUUAUAGUAUACCAACGUUGACAAGUCAUUGAAUUGUAUAAAUGUGGAGCAAUGACUGGUCUUUUAUGUGCAUACAAGAAUGAACUACAGUUUUUUUUAUAAGAGGCAAUGCAUUAAAUGAAACCUACCACCAACUAACCUAACACAGUCUACUCUUACUUUAUGCAUUUGCCCUUUUGGCUCUUUCUAUAUAAACACAAACUCUAUCAGCUCUCUUCAUCAUAAAAAAUUAAACCCAUUACUUACUUAAGCAAAAGAAAAAGAAAAAAGUUUAAGAUUAUGGAGGGCUUCAUAAAGCUGUCAACAUUGUUGAUUGUGUGCAUGUUAGUGUCAGCUCCAAUGGCAGAGGCAGCAAUCUCGUGUGGCGCCGUCGCCAGCAACUUGGGGCAAUGCAUUAACUACCUGACCAGGGGCGGAUUCGUUCCUCGAGGAUGUUGUUCGGGUGUUCAGAGGCUCCACAGCAUGGCUCGGACCACACGUGAUCGGCAACAAGCUUGUCGCUGCAUUCAAGGAGCAGCUAGAGCCUUGGGUUCCAGACUUAACCCAGGCCGUGCUGCUCGUCUUCCUGGUGCUUGCCGUGUUAGGAUCUCUUACCCCAUCAGCGCAAGAACCAACUGUAACAAGUAAUCUAACUCUCACUCUAUUUAUCUCAUUUUACUUUAGGUUGUAAUAAUUUUAUUUGGAUUUUAAUGAAGUGUUACUAACCAUAUAUGAUAAUGUGUUUAAUGUAUUUGGUUGGUUUCAGCAUCCGGUGAGCAUGAGAGCAUAUAUACGUUGAAGUGUUUUAAUUUCCAUAAAAAUAAUGUCACUAGUAUAAUUGUGUAUCCUUUCAAUGUUAUGUGUUGUUUUCAGAAUUGGUGUGUUUCAUUUCUUUCUUUAUAUACGACCGUCCAUUUAAGUGGCCAUCUCUGUUAUGUAUUCCUCUAAGGCGCUAAUGAUGUAUGGAAUUACUAUAUGUAUUGUUUCCCUGCUCUUGCCACGGUCUGCUUUUAGUGCAUCACUUAUUCGGCGCGGUGUAAAUAAACUAGGACCGACACUAGAUUUUGUAAUACAGAUAUGAUCAAACUGACUACUACUUACGUAUUGUGGUAGAAAUAUUUUUUUUUUAAUUUAUAAUCAUUAUUAAGAUAGUCCAAUAAACUGAUAAGUAUGCUUUAAGAAAAUAACCAUAAUUGGACUUCUGAUAAUCAUUUGAUGUCCCCGACUCUUUACCAUUUGAUGUUUUUGUCCAUUGGUUUCUUAAUUGAACCAUUUCCAUUUUCUUUUCUCUUUUUCUUUAUAUCCUUGAACUAUCGCUUGACCACAUAAAUUUCGGACUCGCACGAGUGUCCUCAUAUAUCGUGCUUGGCCCCCUUGUUUGACAUGUCCAAGUAAUGUAGGCCGAAUACAUUAAUCAUAUUGUACACUAGCUUAAGACCCGCGCAAGAUGAAUGUUAUAUAUAAAAAUAAUUUUAUCUGUUAUUAUUAUUUGUAUUCAUUUACGUAUUAUGUAUAUAAUUAAAUUAGACUAAACACAUAAAUCAAAACAAGACAUCUUGUUUAUUUACGAUAUUUUUUUAAUAAAUAAUUCAAAACAAUCAUUUUAUUUAUUUUAUAUGGUAUAUAACUAAAUUUAAAUGACAUGGACAUAGAUAUAUAUACUUUAGGCAAUUAUCAAUAAUAGCACCUUUUGAGUUUUUGUUUCAAAAAUAGCACUAGAAGGAGAAGUCACAAAAAUGACAUUCAUUAAAAGGUAAAAUAUCCCUAAUACCCUUGGUUUAAAAUUAAAUAAACAAACAAAAACAAAUAAAAACAAAUAAAAAAAUGAAAAAAAAAUUAUAGUUUCAGAUUAUAUGUUUUUAGAUUCGAAAUUUUUUAUAAUUUUAUUUUUGAAUUUUUUAUUUUUGAAUUUUUUUUUUAUUUUUUGAAUUUUUUUUUAAUAAUUCAAAAAUACUUUUUGAAACUUUUUUAAUUUUUAAUUUUUAAUUUUUUAGUAUUUAUUUUUUAUUUUAUAAAAUUUUAAACCCUAAUUCCAAAACCCCACCCCUUAACUCUAAACCCUAAGGUUUGGAUUAAUUAACCCAAAUGUAUAAGUGUAUAUUUACCUCUUUAAUGAAACCUAUUUUUGUGACUUUGAACCUUGAGUGCUAGUUUGGGAACAAAAACUUGGUUUGGUGCUAUCCUAGUCUUUUUCUCUAUAUUUUAAUAUAAAUAUUUAUUAUUGAGAAUUCAUACUCAUGUGACAAAAUUUCUAAUGUGCGAUUUUCUGAAUGCAAAUUUCAAAAUUUAAAUAUUAAGGUUACAAUACUUUUUCAAUACAAAUUUAGAAAUUAUCAUAUCUAAGUAUUUUUCUAUGUCAUAUAGUUUAAUAUAAACUAUAUUAAUAUAUAAUAUGAAUGUCUAGUAAAUGAGACUUCAUAUUCAUACGAUUUAUUAUCAUUUGUAUCUUGUUAUUACCAAAAAAGUUAAACCAUUGAUCACAAAAUUUUAGUGUGAGACAUUUAACGUUUUUAGUAAUUUAUAGUCAUUUUAAAAAUUCAAAAUAUAAUAUAUAAGAAAAAAUAUAUUUUAUUAUUAUAUGGUUAAUGUGGUUGCUUAAUAUCUUUUAAUAAUAUAAAAUUAAACAAAAAAGAGCUAAGAUACAAAAAUUAUCCUCAAAUAUUUAUUAUUUAUGAUCAUUAAUUGUCAUAUAUAUGUUAACCAUAUUAGGCACUUCCGUAGAUUUUAUUUAAAAAAUGUGCGAAAAUAUUUUUUUGUACACUAUUUAUCAAAUUAAUAGUUAGUUUAAUAAAAAGUAUAAUAUAAGUUAAGAUGGAUCAACCUAUUUCUCUAAGAAUUCUGAAUUUCAUUCUCAUGGUGACACAUGACUACAAAACAAUGUUGUAAUGUUUCUCAAUUAAUAUAUAAGGGAUUUCUAACUGAAUAAUUUUACUUUUUCUAAAAAUGAUCUUUUGAAAUUUUGUUUGAUACAUAAUCUUUGGAAUAUUCAUAUGGUUUAUUCCCUUGUUUAUUAUUACUGAAAAGUUUAUAAUAGAAAAAAAAGAAGAAAUGUUUAUAGUCUCUAAUAUGUCGAAAUAUAUUUUAGUUCCUAUUUAAAUCGAGGGGUUUGAUGUUAAAUCAGCAUUUUUAAUCAUUACUAGAUGAUAAUCCGCGCGGAGUGAGUUUUUAUAAUAAUGUUUGUUUAUUAAAUGGUUUUAAAAUUUUACAACAUUACAAUCUUUGUCGAUUAUAAAAUAACGAAUACAAAUGUUGGUUUUUUAAAUAUAUCAUCGUUGUUGAAGAGUUAACAUAUUACAACUCAUUUAAAUUAUUUAUAAGAUUUCAGAUGCACAAAAAAAAAUUAAGUUUUGCGACUGACACAAAUCACUAAAACCAAAUAGGCAACAUCGAUUGUAUAAUGGCGAAAGAGAAUAAGGUUUCUGCUCUCGAUUUGUUUACUAUUGACUGUCCAUAAGUGAUUUCAUUUUCUACGUCUAUAAAAUUGUGCUUUCGUUCUCGUCUCUGUUUCAUUGAUAUGAAUUUAGUUUAUUUUUAACAUCUUCUAUGAAUUUGGUGAAUUACAUAAGUAUCAAUUUAAAAAAAAAAUGGACAUCUCUAAAAAUUAGUUCUACUCUAUAUACAUAUCUAAGAAUAAAAAAAUUGAAGAAAAUCACCGGCAGACUCUAUUAACAUGUUAGUUUUCAAAUCAAAUAUAUCAAGUUGUAAUAGUAUAUAUGUAGAGACUCUAAAUAUAAAUGUAUGUCAGUAUAUAUUCACUAGUUCGGUAUAAAAAUCGUCUAAAUUCUAGAACAACAAACUACUUAUAUUAUUAGCCAACACUUUUGAGGUUUAGUUACUUAAGAGUAUGCAAAAAAAAUAAUAUAUAUUACUUUACCAUUCUAGUAUAGGUAAAUUAUGUAUAAACUAAGAACCGUUUGAUUUAUUAAAUGAUAAACUAGAAAACAUAUAAUAAAUAGCUCAUAUCUCUCAUUCUUACAAUUAUAAUAGCUAGAUAGGGUAUUAAGGAGAAACAAAUAUUAGAUGAAUGAUCAAAUCUCUCAUUAUUCGAAUAAACUCAAAAAGAAGUGAUUGAAAUCUUUCAUUAAAAUCUUUUUAGAAAUAAAAAUCAAAACUAAAUUAUUUAAUCUGAAUGAAAUAAUAUAUAUAGUGUUUCCAAUAUUAAAAAUCAAUUAGAUUUGAAAAAGUGUGUUUCUCGGAUUGUUAGGAUUAAAUAAGAUAUUAGAAACCAGCUAUUUAAAAAAUAAUUUAUAUACAUUAGAGUAAUCACAUAAAUCAAAACUAAUAUUUUUUGUUAAUUUACAAUCACGUUUUUGUAAAUAAAUUAAAACAAUAAUUUUAUUUAAUUUAUAUGGUAUAAAAUAAAGUUUAGUGAUAUUGACAUAGAUACAUAAUAUAUUUUAAUAUAAAUAUUUAUUAUUGACACUUUCUACUCAUAUGAUUUUUUAACAUUUGUAUAUUUGUUGUAAUAAAAAUUAGCUGUAUAUUUGUACAUUUGUAUAUUUGUUGUAUGCAUAAAAGCAUAUAUAUUAGAGUGGGCACAUAAAUUAAAACCAAUACUUUUUGUUAAUUUACAAUCAUGUUUUUGGUAAAUAAAUCAAAACAAUUAUUUUAUUUACUUUAUAUGGUAUAAAUUAAACUUUAGUGAUAUUGACAUAGAUACAUAGUAUAUUUUAAUAUAAAUAUUUAUUAUUGACACUUCCCACUCAUAUGAUUUUUUAACAUUUGUAUAUUUGUUGUAAUAAAAAUUUAAACCAUUAAUCACAAACUUUUAAUGUGAGAUUUUUUAACACAAAUUUCAUAAUUAAAAUAUUAAGAUCUCAAUAAUUUUUCACUACAAAUUUUGAAAUUAACAUAUUAAUUUUUGAAAUUAACAUAUUAAUUUAUAUACUUUUAUAUUGUAUAUAAUUUAUUUCAAAUGUUAUUAAUAUAUAUAUAUAAGAUGAAUAUCUAUUAAUAAGACUUAAUAUUUAUACGAUUUAUUAGGUCUGUGAAUUUUAUCUGAUACCCGAACCCGUGUCUGAAUUCCAGCCAAAAAUACAAACCGAAAUAGCAAAAUACACGAACGGUUAUUGAAUUCGGAUAGAUUGGAUAUCCGAAUGGGUAAUAUCCAAAUCGGAAUGUAUAUCCAAAAAUAACCAAACAUAAGUAUACUUAACCCUAUAUUUUUAGUUUACUUCUCUCAUUUUAUUCAAAAUAUUUAUAUUAAUGAUGUACAUUGCUCAAAAUUAGAUUAUAUACAAAUAAUUAUGAACAAAAUCAUUUACUACUCACUUAAAAUACACAUCGAGCUCUUGUUUUUUGCAUUAACAAAAGUUUCAUCUGAAAUUUCAAAACAACAACUAAAUUGGUGUCUUUCUAUUUUUAAAGUUUUAUCUCCAAACUUAUUAAUAGUUUAAUCUUUUAAAAAUUAGAAAGCCAAUAAAGUUAAAAUUAUAUUUGAAAUACAAAGAAAAAACUUAAACAAUGAAUAAGUUAUUUAUUUUUCUUCAAAAUUUAAAUAUCGAAACCCGACCAAAAUAUCUUAACCUGAACAUAAAACACCCGAAUCCGACCCGAAGUGUAGAAAUACCCGAACGGUUUCUAUACCUUUAUACUGAAAUACCCAAAAAUCCUAAAUACCUGAUAUGAACCCGAACGGAUAUCCGAACGCCCACCCCUACGAUAUAUGAUCAUUUGUAUCUUGCUUGAACAAAAAAAAGUUAAACCAUUGAUCACAAAAUUUUCAAUGUGGGACUUUUACCAUUUUUAGUAAUUUAUAGUAUUUUUAGAAAAAUCAAACUAAAAAUUCGAAUUUUUUUUAUUACAUGCAUAAUGUAAUUGUUUAAGUUCUCUUAAUAAUAUAAAAUUAAACCAAAAAAAAGAGGAUACACAAAUUAUUAUCAAAUAUGUAUUAUUGAUAAUCAUUAAUUAUCGUAUCUAUACUAUUAAAGUAGAAUUCAUGACUUCUUUCAUGUGUGAUAUUUUAAAUGGGCCAUCCCCAGAAAGUUACUUAUACUUUUUUUCUUUAUAUUUUCAUGAUAAAAUCCUAACAACCUAUUUAAUUCUCUUUUUAUUACAGCAAUAUAUUAUUAGAUGUACAUAAUUUUAAAAAUAUAAUAUUCCAUCAAUAUAUAAUUAUAUUUGCAUAUAACCAGUUAUAAUCUACUUAAUAAUAAUAAAAUUUAAUUAUUCUAGAGUUUAUACUUUUAUAUGAUUUAAUUAAUAUUAAUAAUAAAAUUUAUUAUGCAAAUACAAUAAUGUUAGAAUUUUACCUUGCAAAUAAUAAAUCGAAUCAAAUGUUAAAAAUCCUAACACUAUUGUAUUUGCAUAAUAAAUGUUAUUAUUAUUAAUUAUAUUUUACAAGUAUCAAUAUUUAUAUAGGUACUGUAUUAACAAACAUGUAUUAAAAUAUAUUAUAUUUUAAAAUACAAUACUAUAGAUUCAAUCAUAUACUGUUUUUAUAAUAAAUUGCUUAAUAUAUAUAUAUAUAUAUAUAUAUAUAUAUAUACUGUUGUGAUUGAAAUUUUCAUGCGUGAUUUCAUAAAUUUUAAAUAUGUAUAAAUUUAAAAUUUAAAAUAAAAAUAUGUAAAGUAGUAUUGUUACAUAAUAAUGUUUUCAAAAUAAUUGUUUGUACAAAAAUACAAAUUUAUAGUAAUAAUAUAUAAGCCACAUAAACAUAGCUAUUAUAAAAAUACAUAAUAUAAAACACUUAAUUGCAUUAAGUUAUUUGUAAAUUUUGUUAUACUCCCUCUGUAUACAAAUAUAGAUGUUUUAGUUUUUUUUCUUUGUAUACAAAUGUAUGAUGUUUUACUUUUAACUAAUGAAAUUUUCUUUAAAAAUAAAAUAUUAAUCAAAAUGUAAAAAUUUAAGUGGUUGAAUUUUUAUUGGAAAUCAAAUAAAACUUUAAACUAACUAAAAUAAAAACCAAAAAGUAAUAGAUAAAAAUAAAUAUUUAAUUUCUCUUAAUAUGUGUUAACAACCUUACACAUCCUAUAUUUGUAUCAAGAGGGAGUAUAAACUAAAAUAUUUAAGUAUAGAAAUAAAAAACCGCACUAAUUCCGUAGCUUUUAUUUAAGGAAAUAAAAAAAUAUUAUUUUGUAAACUAUUAAUUAAUUUGAUAGUUAUUUUAGUUAAAAACAUAGUAUAUAUUUAUAUGGACCAACUUAUUUUUUUAAGAAUUCUAAGAAUCACGCUCUUGAUGACACGUGGCUACGAAUAUGUUGUAAUGCUCAAUGAUUUAUAUAUAGGGGAUUUUUCCCAUAAGCAAUUUUACUUAGGUUUGACCAUUUUGUCAACAACUUAUUAUAACACAUUAACUUUAGUUUCUGGAAAUAUUUACAUUCUUAGGAAAAAAACUCAAGUAACCGAAGAUCGGGGAAGCAUUGCAUUAACAUGGGAAUAUGUGUAUUUUUGAUGUUUAAUUCAUAGUAAAUCCCGUUAUUCAUCAAAUUUGCAUGCAUGCGAAGCUAAGCAUAAUUUACGGGUACACAUGACAUUGAUGGAGCUUUCCCAAUUAUAAAAACCGCACCGACGACCUCAACAAAGUAAAACAAUCAAUUAAACACAAUUAAAAAAAAAAUGACGUUUGCUUCAAAGAUCAUCACAUGCCUCCUCGUCCUUACGAUCUACAUUGCAGCUCCAACAGAGUCACACAUAACGUGUGGGACAGUGACAAGCACAAUGACACAAUGCAUCAGCUACUUGACCAACGGUGGUCCAUUGCCGUCAAGCUGCUGUGUGGCAGUCAAAUCAUUGAACCAAAUGGCUCAGACCACACCAGAUCGCCGACAAGUAUGUGAGUGCCUUAAAUCAGCCGGUAAGGAAAUUAAAGGCCUCAAUAUCGACCUUGUGGCCGCACUCCCUACCACUUGUGGUGUUUCACUUUCCUACCCCAUUGGUUUCAACACCAAUUGUGACAGGUACUUGUCCAUAUAUAACUUUGUUUUUGGUUUUAUAUUAGAUCGUUUUGCUUCUUUCUAGAUUAUCGAUAUAAUUUUCACAGCUGUUUCCACAGUAUAUCUUGAAAGCUAGUUCUCGAUCUACUUGACUCCAAAAUAUAUAAAAGAAAAUGGAUUUGGACUAAUUAAACUACCAGAUAAACACAUAGUUCACUAUAGUCGAUAGUAUAUUGUUGUAUGGUUUGUUACCAGUGACAUGAUACAUUAUUGUUUUGUUUUUUGGAAUGUUACAGUAUAUCGAUUGCCGUGUGAAGGAGACUAGAGACGUACGAACGAAUAAGAAGAGUUGGCCCAACUUUAACCUAAACAAUAAUUAUCCCGCUGCUAUUUUCUAUUUUAUGACUUGAGUUUCUUAUUAUGUAAUCAUCCAUUUCAUAUGGUAAUAAGUAAUAACGAUAAAGGAGCUCUCUCUCUCUUUAUCGGCGCUUUGAUGUAUGUACGCCUAACAUACCAUCAGGAAUAACACUUUGUCUUUCUCUUACAUGUAAUAUAUAUGAUCAAGAGGUUGCAUGAACUAAUGAGCUUUUACCUAACCGCAUAUAUAUAAAGUUAUAGCAUCCAUGAAAAAGGUUUGGCAUAUAAACAUGUUUUGCAAGGUCAAUACAAAGGAUAUCGUUUUAGUCUUCUAAGAAUGUAAAUUUCAUUACUAUUGUAUUGUAUGUUUGAUACAAGAGAACCUGAAUCCAAAGGAUAUCAGACAAAAUGGGUAUUCGAUAUCAGACCACCGGUUCUACAUGUAUGUCAAAUAUUUGUUGUGAGUGUACGUUGUUUGGAUUAAUUUAUAUAUAUAUACUAGUGGUAUUCCGGCGCUACGCGCCGGGUUCAUAUUUUUUUAUUCUUUAAUGAAUUCAAUCAUUUGCUUAUAGAAAUAACAGUUUUUGCAUAUCUUCUUGAUGUUUAGUAAUUAAGUUUGGGGGAUCAACUUGGGGUUCCGUUUGCCAAACUAAAUUAUCAAUACGUUUGUGCUGUUUAUUAAUUUAACAAUUUUAUUUGUUUUGUUUGGUUAUUUGUAGGUUUUAUUUAAAAAUUAAGCUACUGUUUUAUGCAUUUGUAUUUAGCUGGAUUUUUCUAUGUUAUGUGCAUGUGAUACUAAGAAUGUUGCACUCAGACAGUUUGUACCGGCUACUUAUGUAUUAUAGCUACUAUAUGUGGCUUCGUAUGUCAUUUGGGGGUCUUAGUUAUGGCUUAGCUUAGGUUGGGUUUUUUUUGACAGACACAAUGAAAAAAGAGUUGUCCAAAAAAAAACACAAUGAAAAAAUUUGCGAUAGUAGUUAAAGUGAAAACAGAAGCAAAAGCUCAAGUAAAAAAAAACAGAAAAAUUUCUAGGGAAAACUGAAACAAUAGCAAUGUACCAACAAUCCCAAAGAAAAGUAAAAAUUUAUAAAUAUUAAUUAGAAUCUAUAUAUUCGAUUUGAAAAUGAGUAAAAUUUAAUUAGACUUGUAAAUAUAUAUAAGAUUUGCAAAUCAAUUAAAUUGCAUAAAUGAUUGACACCCUUAAACUUUUGAUAAAAAUAAAGUAAAAAUCAAAACUGAGCAGCAAACCAACAUAUGCUGAGUCGCUCAAAUAAGAUAAUUCUUAUAUAUAUAUAUAUAUAUAUAUAUAUAUAUACUGUUGUGAUUGAAAUUUUCAUGCGUGAUUUCAUAAAUUUUAAAUAUGUAUAAAUUUAAAAUUUAAAAUAAAAAUAUGUAAAGUAGUAUUGUUACAUAAUAAUGUUUUCAAAAUAAUUGUUUGUACAAAAAUACAAAUUUAUAGUAAUAAUAUAUAAGCCACAUAAACAUAGCUAUUAUAAAAAUACAUAAUAUAAAACACUUAAUUGCAUUAAGUUAUUUGUAAAUUUUGUUAUACUCCCUCUGUAUACAAAUAUAGAUGUUUUAGUUUUUUUUCUUUGUAUACAAAUGUAUGAUGUUUUACUUUUAACUAAUGAAAUUUUCUUUAAAAAUAAAAUAUUAAUCAAAAUGUAAAAAUUUAAGUGGUUGAAUUUUUAUUGGAAAUCAAAUAAAACUUUAAACUAACUAAAAUAAAAACCAAAAAGUAAUAGAUAAAAAUAAAUAUUUAAUUUCUCUUAAUAUGUGUUAACAACCUUACACAUCCUAUAUUUGUAUCAAGAGGGAGUAUAAACUAAAAUAUUUAAGUAUAGAAAUAAAAAACCGCACUAAUUCCGUAGCUUUUAUUUAAGGAAAUAAAAAAAUAUUAUUUUGUAAACUAUUAAUUAAUUUGAUAGUUAUUUUAGUUAAAAACAUAGUAUAUAUUUAUAUGGACCAACUUAUUUUUUUAAGAAUUCUAAGAAUCACGCUCUUGAUGACACGUGGCUACGAAUAUGUUGUAAUGCUCAAUGAUUUAUAUAUAGGGGAUUUUUCCCAUAAGCAAUUUUACUUAGGUUUGACCAUUUUGUCAACAACUUAUUAUAACACAUUAACUUUAGUUUCUGGAAAUAUUUACAUUCUUAGGAAAAAAACUCAAGUAACCGAAGAUCGGGGAAGCAUUGCAUUAACAUGGGAAUAUGUGUAUUUUUGAUGUUUAAUUCAUAGUAAAUCCCGUUAUUCAUCAAAUUUGCAUGCAUGCGAAGCUAAGCAUAAUUUACGGGUACACAUGACAUUGAUGGAGCUUUCCCAAUUAUAAAAACCGCACCGACGACCUCAACAAAGUAAAACAAUCAAUUAAACACAAUUAAAAAAAAAAUGACGUUUGCUUCAAAGAUCAUCACAUGCCUCCUCGUCCUUACGAUCUACAUUGCAGCUCCAACAGAGUCACACAUAACGUGUGGGACAGUGACAAGCACAAUGACACAAUGCAUCAGCUACUUGACCAACGGUGGUCCAUUGCCGUCAAGCUGCUGUGUGGCAGUCAAAUCAUUGAACCAAAUGGCUCAGACCACACCAGAUCGCCGACAAGUAUGUGAGUGCCUUAAAUCAGCCGGUAAGGAAAUUAAAGGCCUCAAUAUCGACCUUGUGGCCGCACUCCCUACCACUUGUGGUGUUUCACUUUCCUACCCCAUUGGUUUCAACACCAAUUGUGACAGGUACUUGUCCAUAUAUAACUUUGUUUUUGGUUUUAUAUUAGAUCGUUUUGCUUCUUUCUAGAUUAUCGAUAUAAUUUUCACAGCUGUUUCCACAGUAUAUCUUGAAAGCUAGUUCUCGAUCUACUUGACUCC